GCUCAUUAAAUCAGCUAUGGUUCCUUGGAUCGUACAUACUACAUGGAUAACUGUAGUAAUUCUAGAGCUAAUACAUGCCACUAUGCCCUGACCCGCAAGGGAACGGGUGGAUUUAUUAGAACAGAACCAACCGGGGACGGCUUCGGUCGUUCCUGUUGCAUUCUGUGAUGACUCUGGAUAACUUCACUGAUCGCAGUCGGCCUUGUGUCGGCGACGGAUCUUUCAAAUGUCUGCCCUAUCAAUUUACGAUGGUAGGUGACCUGCCUACCAUGGUUCUAACGGGUAACGGGGAAUCAGGGUUCGAUUCCGGAGAGGGAGCCUGAGAAACGGCUACCACUUCCAAGGAAGGCAGCAGGCACGCAAAUUACCCAAUCCCGGCACGGGGAGGUAGUGACGAAAAAUACGGAUACGGGACUCAAUAGAGGCUCCGUAAUUCGAAUGAGUACAAUUUAAAUCCUUUAACGAGGAUCAACUGGAGGGCAAGUCUGGUGCCAGCAGCCGCGGUAACUCCAGCUCCAGAAGCGUAUAUUAAAGUUGUUGCAGUUAAAAAGCUCGUAGUUGGAUCUGGGUUGCAUGGCUACAUGCCGUCGCUCGUUGGUGUGGUCUGGUAACCACCGGAUCAAGCCUGCGAGUCGGUUUAGUGGUUGUGCUUCCUUUCUGCUGUGUCUGUUUACAGGUGUCAGCGUGACUGGUGGGCUUGCCUGCUGGUCUGUUGGCAUGCUUCUUGAUGCCUUUAAACGGG
rnacentral:rRNA from 1 species